AUACUAAAAAAAUGCUACACAUGAGUAUUGAACCACCCCACUCAAGACUAUGAUACCACCUUCUCCACCAGACCACUUAUGAUCAUCUACUACUGUGAUACUAGGUUAAAUAUAUGAACCGGCUAAAAAAUAAAAAGAUUUAAAAUAAAAAACAAAAUAAACAUUUUUUAUGGUUUUUGUAUCUCUGUUAAAAAACAAAUUAAAUUAAUAAAAGAAAAUAAAAAAACAAAGGCCUCACGAAAUCCCUCUCUUUCGCGUCCUCUCCUCUCUAAAUCACUACCAGCAAGCUCUCUCCCAACCUUCAGUGAAAAUCGUCCCUCACCGCUCUCUCAAUCUCCAAUCUCUCUUAAUCGCUCACCUAAUCUCGCGCUCAACCCUCUCUCUCCUCGUCCUCAACCUUAUUCCAAAAUGCAUAAAACCCACAGCUUAAAGGAAUCUG
rnacentral:lncRNA from 1 species